ensembl:lncRNA
GGGCACACAUAGAGGAAAGACCACCUGAGGACACAGGAGCUGGUGGGCGUCUGCAUGCUAGGGAGAGAGGCCUCAGGAGAAACCAACCCUGUGGACACCUUGAUGUCAGACCUCCAGCCUCCAGAACCAUGAGAGAGAAAUUUCCAUUGUUUACAAGCUCCCCGGUUGAUGUAUUUUGUAGGGCAGCUCUAGAAAAGUAACACAUUACCCAAAGACAGGUGUUGGCCCUCAUUUUUGCUUUUGGGAGAGUGAUUCUCACGAUUUAGGCAGACAGAGAAGUUUCCUUUUAAACCUAGUGCCUGGAACAGAAUUUUUUUAAACUUAGAAUUCCAUUGAUAAAAUUGAAGAUGAUUUGGUUGAAUUCAAAGUCGAGGCUGAAAAUAAUUAAAAUGGGAAAGCAUUAAAAAAAUGGUGAAGGCAAGAUUGAAAUUGUGGGAAAAGGUGAGAAAGAAAGCCGAUAAAGCCAAUAGUAAUGGAGCAAAUAAGGAAUAAAAUCACUUUAGGAAGAUUAGCCCUGAGCUAACAUCUACUGCCAAUCCUCCUCCUCUUGCUGAGGAAGACCAGCCCUGAGCUCACAUCCGUGCCCAUCUACCUCCACUUCACAUGUGGGACACCUACCACAGCAUGGCCCGCCAAGCUGUGCCAUGUCCACACCCGGGAUCCGAACCAGUGAACCCUGGGCCACCGAAGCGGAACUGUGCGCACUUAACUGCUGCGCCACCAGGCCAGCCCCAGAAGAUUUCAUUUGAUCCUGCUUUUCUGGAGCAAUGCCACCAACUUCAUUUGUAAUGUGCUGCCUUUGUCUUUGGGUGGAAAAUGGUGGAAGAACAGAGGAGCAGGUGUCCUUUAUAUGCACAUAACCUCAUAAACUUCAAUUGAUUCGUUGCCACCUGUUAUCAAACGACACCUGCAUAACAGACUGCAGAUAACAAAAGAGGCAUUCAGGGGCAGACAACUACGGUUAUGCAAUUGAAAGUCAAGGUUGCAUCUUUGAGUCCACCUAGAUAGUUGUGGGCAUUUCCUUUUUUUUCCUCAAUAGUAAAUACAUUCAUAUGGUUCAUAAAUUUAAAAAUAUGAAAUGGUUUACAGUGAAAACUUUUUUGGGUCCCUUGACUGUGCAGUUUUCAUCUCCCAGCCCUUACCGGUCACUAAUUAGUUUGAUCAGUUUCAGGACUAUUCUUCCAGAAUUUCUUCAGGCAAAUACAAGUGUCUACGACCUCAUGUAUGUUUAAGCUGGGGAUCAUUUAAAGAACAACAUACCUAGUGGGAAUGAUCUUCUGCCGUUUUUCCUUUUUUGAUGUAAGAAAAAAAUAUUAUAGUGAACCUUUGCAUGAUUUUAAUUUUCUAGCAAUAGUAGAGAUAGCCUGGCCUACUAACCAGUGCUGGGCUAGGCGUCAAUAGAUGUGCAAUUAAUUUAAAAUAUAACUCUGAACUCUCGUUCUUUGUGCUUCAGCUGAGAAGGAGAAUAUGCACCCGUGAGUGUGAAGGUAAAAUGGGGACAUGCAAGUGUCAGUGCUCUGAAAAGUGUAGGCUCGCAGGCAAAAAGAAGGCAUGAAUGAUGCCCUUCAUGAGGACCAGGGCAUCUUCCAACUUUCCUUUGAUGAUAAAUGAACAGCCUUAAAUUGUGGCUUGAAACGAUUACACUAGAUUUGCAAAGCAAGACACUGCUAUCAGCUAUAAUCUUUAAAAUGAACUCAUCAACUCAACGUUUUUUUAUUGCUUGCAAAUGUCACUAUCGUUAGCCAAAGUUUAUUAAAGCUCGGUAAUGUGCUUUCUACCAUGCAGGGGGUGAUGACUGAGUUGGGAGAGAUCCCUGGACAUCUAGAAUGUCUAAAGAGGCAGCUGGUCACCAGCCACAGAGGAGGUCUAUGAGAAAUUGCUAAGGAAGCGAUGGAGGUCUGCCCUUUUUCUCUCAAUAUGCCUGAGGACUCUAGUUUAACUGACAGGAUUUCACAGCUUUGCCUUACACAAAUCAAUAUUAAUUUAUAGGUUACAUUUUAAAAGCCUUGUCCGAGUUUUUGAUCAAUCUAGUCUAUGAAAAGCAUUUGCCUUAUUUGUUUUAUUAUGUAUCUAUCUUUAUCAUAUAUAAUACAUAUAUUAUGUUAUACAUAUAUAUUUUCUGAACAUUUAAAACUAAAUUGCAGACAUCAGGCCCUUUAAUCCUA